CCCAGAUGACGAGUGUCAAAUAGGACGAAACGCGAGUCCUGCAG
rnacentral:hammerhead_ribozyme from 1 species